AGUGAACGCUGGCGGUAGGCCUAACACAUGCAAGUCGAACGGCAGCACAGUAAGAGCUUGCUCUUACGGGUGGCGAGUGGCGGACGGGUGAGGAAUACAUCGGAAUCUACUUUUUCGUGGGGGAUAACGUAGGGAAACUUACGCUAAUACCGCAUACGACCUACGGGUGAAAGCAGGGGAUCUUCGGACCUUGCGCGAUUGAAUGAGCCGAUGUCGGAUUAGCUAGUUGGCGGGGUAAAGGCCCACCAAGGCGACGAUCCGUAGCUGGUCUGAGAGGAUGAUCAGCCACACUGAAUAUGAGACACGGUCCAGACGCCUAAGGGAGGCAGCAGUGGGGAAUAUUGGACAAUGGGCGCAAGCCUGAUCCAGCCAUAACGCGUGGGUGAAGAAGGCCUUCGGGUUGUAAAGCCCUUUUGUUGGGAAAGAAAAGCAGCAGGUUAAUACCCCGCUGUUCUGACGGGACCAAAAGAAUAAGCACCGGCGAACUUCGU
rnacentral:rRNA from 1 species